UGGCUCAGAACGAACGCUGGCGGUAGGCCUUAGACAUGCAAGUCGAACGCGAAAUAUACUUCCGGUAUAGAGUAGAGUGGCGGACGGGUGAGUAACGCGUAGGGAGCUACCCAGUAGUGGGGAAUAACCAUUGGAAACGAUGGCUAAUACCGCAUACGCCCUUCGGGGGAAAGAUUUAUUGCUAUUGGAAGCGCCUGCGUUAGAUUAGCUAGUUGGUAGGGUAAGAGCCUACCAAGGCAACGAUCUAUAGCUGGUUUGAGAGGAUGAUCAGCCACACCGGAACUGAGACACGGUCCGGACUCCUACGGGAGGCAGCAGUCGGGAAUAUUGCACAAUGGGGGAAACCCUGAUGCAGCCAUACCGCGUGAGUGAUGAAGGCCCUUGGGUUGUAAAGCUUUUCACUAAUGAGGAUGAUGACGUUAAUUAGAGAAGAAGUCCCGGCUACUUCUGCCACAGCCCGCGGUAUUACGAAG
rnacentral:rRNA from 1 species